AUUGAACGCUGGCGGAAUGCUUUACACAUGCAAGUCGAACGGCAGCACGGGGGCAGCCCUGGUGGCGAGUGGUGAACGGGUGAGUAAUACAUCGGAACGUGCCCGGUCGUGGGGGAUAACGUAGCGAAAGUUACGCUAAUACCGCAUACGAUCUGAGGAUGAAAGCGGGGGACCUUCGGGCCUCGCGCGAUCGGAGCGGCCGAUGUCAGAUUAGGUAGUUGGUGGGGUAAAGGCCUACCAAGCCGACGAUCUGUAGCUGGUCUGAGAGGAAGACCAGCCACACUGGGACUGAGACACGGCCCAGACUCCUACGGGAGGCAGCAGUGGGGAAUUUUGGACAAUGGGCGCAAGCCUGAUCCAGCCAUGCCGCGUGCAGGACGAAGGCCUUCGGGUCGUAAACUGCUUUUGUACGGAACGAAAAGGCUCUGGCUAAUACCUGGGGCUCAUGACGGUACCGUAAGAAUAAGCACCGGCUAACUACGUG
rnacentral:rRNA from 1 species